ensembl:lincRNA Gm13063 predicted gene 13063
UCUACAGGUACAGGCAGCCCAGCAAGCCAGGGAAAGAUUUCCAAGCCGACAGAUGCGCGAACUGAAAAAGGAGAUGCAGGAUCUAUGGCGGGAAGGCCUGGGAGUGCGGCGAAGCUCCCCACGCCCUCGGAUUCCGCCUGACUUCUCGGGUCUGCCCAGCUUCUCCAUCACCAGGGGCUCGCUCCGCUCCGCAGCGGCACCCAACACCUUCGCGGUCCACCGCACCGCUGCCCACCUGGUUUCCUGCCAGGGCUCCCGCCCACCGCACGGUGACUGACAGGCCGGCGCGGACGGACGACCCCUCCGCGGGAAGACACCCCACGCCUAACUUUGAAACGCGGGGGCCCCCCGCUCUACUCAGCGGCGCCCGGACCGCCGCCCCCUCCCCCGGCUCCUCGGGCCGCUUCCCACCUCCAGCCCCGGGCUCCCCGCGUGAGCUCGCGCCCCGGCUCCCGGGCCUGCAGGGGGCUGGAGACAAAGGCUGCGGCGGCGGCGUGGCGGCCGCCCGGACCGUCCCCUCGGGGCCAGCGCCGCCCCCACCCCACCGGCUCGCGCGCCGCGGCUUCGCCUCGCCUCACCCGGGGUUCUCGGCCGGGGCUCCCGCGCCGGCCGCAGCUUCAGCCCGACGAACAAUGGCAGGAGGCGGCGCCCGCGUCCGAGGCUCCGGCC